rnacentral:rRNA from 1 species
UACGGAGGGGGCUAGCGUUGUUCGGAAUUACUGGGCGUAAAGCGCACGUAGGCGGCUUUGUAAGUUAGAGGUGAAAGCCCAGGGCUUAACCCUGGAAUUGCCUUUAAGACUGCAUCGCUAGAAUCGUGGAGAGGUGAGUGGAAUUCCGAGUGUAGAGGUGAAAUUCGUAGAUAUUCGGAAGAACACCAGUGGCGAAGGCGGGUCUCUGGGCAAUAACUGACGCUGAGGAGCGAAAGCGUGGGGAGCGAACAGG